rnacentral:rRNA from 1 species
UACGUAGGGUGCGAGCGUUGUCCGGAUUUAUUGGGCGUAAAGAGCUCGUAGGCGGCUUGUCGCGUCGGCCGUGAAAUCUCCACGCUUAACGUGGAGCGUGCGGUCGAUACGGGCAGACUUGAGUUCGGUAGGGGAGACUGGAAUUCCUGGUGUAGCGGUGAAAUGCGCAGAUAUCAGGAGGAACACCGGUGGCGAAGGCGGGUCUCUGGGCCGAUACUGACGCUGAGGAGCGAAAGCGUGGGGAGCGAACAGG